rnacentral:rRNA from 1 species
UAUUAAUAAAGAAACUUAAAUUUAAGUUUUGCUUUAAGAUGUUAAUCACCUCGUGUAGUAUUAGUUAAAGUAACAAUUAAGCUAGCUUAAUACACGUAGUCGUGACUGGAAGGUUGAUCGACCACAAUGUGGCCUGAACAAAGCCCAUGACUUAGUUACAGCAGUGAGGAAUAUUGGUCAAUAGCCUAACGGCUGAACCAGCAACUUGGAGGAAGGUAUAGCAAUAGCUAAUUGUAUUAACAAAUAGUUUUUACAAUAUCGAUUUAAUCGGCUAAAAUUCUAGGUAGAUUUAUGAUGAUGACAUUAUCUAUCUAUGUGUCUUGACCAAAUUACGUGCCAGCUGUCGCGGUAAGACGUAGGAGACUAGUGUUAUUCAUCUUUAAUAGGUUUAAAGCGUACCUAGACGGUAAUUAAAGCCUACAUCAGGUACUUGUUUACUAGAGUUAAAUGUAAGGGUGUAUUAAAGUACUGUUGAGUGUAGAGAUGAAAUUCGUUGAUACCAAAUAAUUGGCACAGGUAUAGGCGAAAGCAUCACUUUAUGUAAUAACUGACGUUGACGGACGAAGGCUUUGUGUCGCGAACAGGAUUAGAUACCCCAGUAGUCUUAGCAGAAAAUUAUGAGUGUCAUAGGUUAGAUUAUAUCUGGUCUAUAAAUGAAAGUGUAAGCACUCCACCUCAAGAGUAAUUUGGCAACAUUGGAACUGAAAUCAUUAGACCGUUUCUGAAACCAGUAGUGAAGUAUGUUGUUUAAUUUGAUGAUCCGCAAAGAACCUUACCACAAUUUGAAUAUAAAUGAUUUAUUUUUACAAGCGUUGCACGGCUGUCUUCAGUUAAUGUCGUGAGAUAUUGGUUUAUUCCAUUAAAUUAACGUAAACCCGUACUUUAUUUUUAUAUAAAGUUUUUCAUUCGCUAUAAUGGAUGUGAUAACAGGGACUAAGACAAGUCAUCA